ensembl:lncRNA
UGGAGUGUAGUUUCCAUGCAGUGCCUCUAGGUGGAGCUGUAGGUUCAGUGGUGAGUGCAUUUUGAAGCAGUGCUGUCUUGGCUGGUUUCUUUGCUGCAGAGUGGGAGGAACAACAGUCUGAUGUGGAUUUGUGAAUGGCCAAAGGAAAGUUGCAGUUUCUGUUUGCAAACAUCAACAUCUGUCCUUCAAACCCCAAAGCAUCAUGGGACAGCUGUUUUCCUCAGAAGAAGAGCGCUCUCGUGCCCGGGAUGCGAUUGGUGCGGUCCUGUUUGAUGCCAUGUUGGACGCCGGUGCCGUCCCAAACCUCAGAGUGGUUCACCCUCUGCUGCUGUCCAACGACGACACAGGCGCACGACCGGGACCCUCCAUCCAGGAACAAAUGCAGCAGUUGCAGAGAGACAUUGGAAGCAGAGCGCCUACCUAUCUGAGGGAUCUGAUUGGUCGACUGUCGGCGUUCACGGAUGAGCCCAGACUGGCGGGUUUGGUGGGGUCAGUGGUGUCGAUGGUUAUAGACAUGGCCUAUGCAUCGUCCAAACCGCCAUCAGGGAAGAACGCCGGCUCCUCCUCUCGACAGAGAGUUUCCGAGCUGCAGGAGUUGAUGGAGGAGUACCUGAAGCGCUGUAGGAUUAACCUGAACGACAAAAAUAAAUUAAUGCAGGACACAUCCAGACUGGAGACGCAACUCAGUCUGAAUCUCACGCAGCUGAAAACAUGUUUGCUCAGAGGAGACUGCGACUCCAGGUCUCUCAGGCAGUGGGCCAGUGGAGCGGCCUUUCACACCCAAAUGUUGGUGCAUCUGGCUGGACUCGAGGGUCAGAUGGAGGCUCUGGCUGCAAGAGGUGCCCUGCUGCAGUACAGAGAAGACCUGGAGCAGAUUAUUCCCGUCUAUAGGAAGUAUAAAGCCGGUACAGUCAGUGCGCUGAAAUGCCGAGGCAGCCUGUCAGCGUCGCAUGGAGAGUCCGGUGAUGUUCUCGAGGAAGGAGCCAUGACGGGUCUGACCGUAACUGACCGAGAAACCGGGGCGAGCGUGACUAUACCGCUGUGUGAGCUGCAGACGCAAACAGAGAGAAGACUGGAGGCUGGUUUGAGCGACGGCGCGUCCGACACGUCCGACACGUCCCUUAACCUUGACUUAAUCUCCUGCGAUGACUACGCCCAAGCUUAUCUGCAGCGCUUCUUCUCCGACCAGGGACCCGUGGGGAAAAUUGAGACGUAUUUCCGCAAUGCGAGCGACAGUCUGAGCACGCUUACGACUAAACCGAAAAAGACGAAAAGACCCGAGGAGAGCGCUGCGUUAGAGAACAAAGUGCAUGUUACAGACAGUGCAGAGUCAGCGGGAGGUCAAACGGGGGCGCUAGAGGUCAAAGGUGAAGGGAUAGGCUGUACGCAGAGAACGCAAAACUUUGAAAAUGAAAGUCUGAAGCUCAGUAUAGUAGAGAUGCAAUCGCAAAUUUAGCGUUAGCCGAGGUGAGAGAAGUCAAAGUUUAUACUCAAAUAACAUUACCGUAUUUUCAGGUCUAUACGUCGCUCUGGAGUAUAAGUCGCACCAGCCAAAAGUGCAUAAUAAUGAAGAAAAAAACACAUAUAAGUCGCUAACACAUUUAUAUUUAUUCAGCUACAUGAAGCACAGACAGAACUGAACACGUGUCUGGUUUGUUAACAUAAGAUAUUAACAGUUAAUCAGAUAAAUAAAGCAGAAAAAACAAGCAACAACUUUACUCUCGAUCUCAAAUCUCCAAAUUAAUAAAUCCGCUGAGUUCUUCAUCGUCGGUGUCACUUCUGAACAAAUCCAGCAACUCCAGAAGUCGCUGUCAUCAGACUCAGCAGAAUAUGAUUUUCUUUUAGGGGCAUUUUUGUUCAGUUUUUCUCAGAUGUCUUUUAAAUUACCGUAAUGUUGAAAUUUUACCUUUUCAGUGGUACAGGAGGAGUAGAUACUGGUACACGAGCUUGAAGUGUCCUCGUGCAGAUGUCAGCGUGACAAUAACGAAGACAUGACAUUAUAUAUUUUAAUAAUUUCACUUAUAAGUCGCACCUGAGUAUAAGUCGCAACCCCGGACAAACUAUGAAAAAACAGUACUUUAAAAUGUCUGUGUAAUCCCUCAGAGUCAUACUUUGCGUAAUCAUUCAGGCCCUUAAUAGUCGCUGUCACACCUAUUAGCAUACUGGCUACAGCUAUUAAUAUUAUUACUCAAGUAGAAGUCAAAAGUAGUGACCCAAAUCAUUACAGAGGAAGCGUAAAAAAGUAUUUGGAGAAAGUAUCAUUUGAGUAACAGUAACAGUCACUGAGGUAAAAUGUAUUAACAAUCAGAUUUAUGAUUUUUGAGUUGAUGUAGAUCGACAGACGAGACAUUAAAUCAUUCGUGGAUCACAGUUUUUCCCAAAGAACAGAGUAAACUAAACAUCCUCAGCUCAGUAUGACUCAACACGUAAAGGUACGACGUCAGAAAGCGACUCUCAAAAGCGUCACUUCUUCAAAAAGUUACUCGAGUAAAAUGUACAAUGCACCUCUGAGUCUUUGUCAACGAAAACCCAAACACGUACAAGACUGAUUUUUCAUUGAUAAAGAUAAACUGACAAAACUAAAAGGAGUAACAUCUGCAAAUGUGUC